rnacentral:lncRNA from 1 species
UGGAACCUUCCCUGAUUGCUCACCUAGCCGUGCUCUCGAAUACUCAUCUUCGACAUCUUCUGCUUCCUCUUCGUCUACCACGUCUGCCUGGAAAACAGAUGAUGCAGGUGAAGAUGAUGCAGAUGAAGAUGAUGCAUCGAAGCAUAUGGAGACAAGCGCGACGAAUGCAUGUGCUGAUCGUCCACUACUUCUUCAAAAGCAAAAGUAUCUCAUAUCACUGGGGUCGAAAGCAAAGGUAUCUCAUAUCAUGUUUUCCCCCCAUCAUUUCCCAUGCCCUUGCUCUUGCCUGCAGAACAAGGAGAAGGGAAGCAAUCAGUCGGAACCUGAAAUUAAA